rnacentral:rRNA from 1 species
AUGAUUCGUGAUGAAGGAGGUACAUUUUGUAUGAAAUGGUGGACGGUCACUGCUCAUUUGUGGUCUCUUUUUCAGGAGUCUACGGAGGUUGUUCAGGAGGUACUACCGAUAGGAACAAAGGAAUUCACGUUGGUGGAGAUCAUAGCUGCCACCAACAACUUCGCCCAUGACACAAUGACCAAUUGCGGCAGCGGAGGAAGGGUGUAUAGGGGCAGGCUUCAGAAUGGACGACGGGUGGCCAUCAAGCGCAUGUCAGAAAACAUACAGCUGGAGGACUUCCGCACGGAGCUCGACGUCCUAGCAAAGCUACGACACAAGCAUAUCAUCCCCCUCCUUGGAUGGUGUGUUAGCAUUAAGGGAAAGCGCCUGCUAACCCGGCGAAGAAAGGAGUUAGAAAGGCUUAUCUUGUACCCAAAUCAGGCUGGCUCCUCUAUAUAUAUGCUGUCACCGGUGACCAUGUCUUGCAAUAUGCGCAUCGAUGUGCUCCUCCGUGUUUCACAAGCAAAAAUAGAGUACAUCCACUGUCAUUCCAACCCUCGGAUCAUCCACCGUGACAUCAAGUCAAUCAACAUCCUUUUCGAUGUCAGUUGGGUGCCCCAUGUUUCAGAUUUUGCCUCGUCCGUCGUCUGGGACAUGGCGAGUGAGGUGCCGUGGUUGGAUGUCAUCGUUAGAGGCACACUUGGGUACAUCGACCUUGAGUACCUCCAUACAGGUCAUCUGACUCCGGCUAGCGACGUGUAUUGCCUUGGCGUGGUUAUGCUUGAGGUUCUGACAGGGAAAAGGGCGUUUUCCCAAGCAAAGGAGGAGAUGAAUAGAGAUCUGGCAUCUUUUGCACUCCCCAUGAUUGAGGCCGGUAACAUUGAGGAGAUGCUGGAUAGACGACCUGUACCGGAGCCAACGUCAUGA